rnacentral:rRNA from 1 species
UAAUCAAGCCCGGAGAUAGCUGGUUCUCCCCGAAAGCUAUUUAGGUAGCGCCUCGUGAAUGAUUACUGGGGGUAGAGCACUGUUUCGGCUAGGGGGCUGUCAUGGCUUACCAAACCGAUGCAAACUCCGAAUACCGGCUAAUUGAAUCACGGGAGACACACGGCGGGUGCUAACGUCCGUCGUGGAGAGGGAAACAACCCAGACCGCCAGCUAAGGUCCCCAAGUACUAGUUAAGUGGGAAACGAUGUGGGAAGGCAUAGACAGCCAGGAGGUUGGCUUAGAAGCAGCCACCCUUUAAAGAAAGCGUAAUAGCUCACUGGUCGAGUCGGCCUGCGCGGAAGAUGUAACGGGGCUAAAACUAGUCACCGAAGCUGCGGAUGUGCGCGAAGGCGCACGUGGUAGGGGAGCGUUCUGUAGGCUGAUGAAGGUGCAUUGAGAAGUGUGCUGGAGGUAUCAGAAGUGCGAAUGCUGACAUGAGUAACGAUAAUGUGGGUGAAAAGCCCACACGCCGGAAGUCCCAGGUUUCCUGCACGACGUUAAUCGGAGCAGGGUGAGUCGGCCCCUAAGGCGAGGCUGAAGAGCGUAGUCGAUGGGAACCAGGUUAAUAUUCCUGGACUUUUUAUAAGUGGUGAAGUGGGGACGAAGAAGGCUAGGUGAGCCAGGCGUUGGUUGUCCUGGUACUUGCAUGUAGGGGGGAAGACUUGGCAAAUCCGGUUUUCCAUAACUCUGAGGUGCGAAGUGGUUCUGACCUUUUGGUACAGAGAAGUCAUUGAUGCCCGGCUUCCAGGAAAAGCUGCUAGCCAUAACUUAUAGAGAACCGUACCGCAAACCGACACAGGUGGACAGGUAGAGAAUACUAAGGCGCUUGAGAGAACUCGGGUGAAGGAACUAGGCAAAAUGGUACCGUAACUUCGGGAGAAGGUACGCCCUUUCUGGUGAUGGGAUUUACUUUCAGAGCUGGAGAGGGCCGCAGAGACCAGGUGGCUGCGACUGUUUAUUAAAAACACAGCACUCUGCAAAUUCGUAAGAAGACGUAUAGGGUGUGACGCCUGCCCGGUGCCGGAAGGUUAAUUGAUGGGGUUAUCUUCGGAGAAGCUCUUGAUCGAAGCCCCGGUAAACGGCGGCCGUAACUAUAACGGUCCUAAGGUAGCGAAAUUCCUUGUCGGGUAAGUUCCGACCUGCACGAAUGGCGUAACGAUGGCCACACUGUCUCCACCCGAGACUCAGUGAAAUUGAAAUCGCUGUGAAGAUGCAGUGUACCCGCGGCUAGACGGAAAGACCCCGUGAACCUUUACUAUAGUUUUGCACUGGACUUUGAUGAUGACUGUGUAGGAUAGGUGGGAGGCUGUGAAGUGAGGACGCUAGUUCUCAUGGAGCCGCCCUUGAAAUACCACCCUGUUGUUAUUGAGGUUCUAACUUGGUCCAGUAAUCCUGGAUGAGGACAGUGUAUGAUGGGUAGUUUGACUGGGGCGGUCUCCUCCCAAAGAGUAACGGAGGAGCACAAAGGUACCCUCGGUACGGUCGGACAUCGUACCAAGAGUGUAAAGGCAAAAGGGUGCUUGACUGCGAGAGUGACGGCUCGAGCAGGAACGAAAGUUGGUCUUAGUGAUCCGGUGGUUCUGAAUGGAAGGGCCAUCGCUCAACGGAUAAAAGGUACUCCGGGGAUAACAGGCUGAUACCGCCCAAGAGUUCAUAUCGACGGCGGUGUUUGGCACCUCGAUGUCGGCUCAUCACAUCCUGGGGCUGAAGCAGGUCCCAAGGGUAUGGCUGUUCGCCAUUUAAAGUGGUACGCGAGCUGGGUUUAGAACGUCGUGAGACAGUUCGGUCCCUAUCUGCCGUGGGCGUAGGAAAAUUGAGAGGAGCUGCUCCUAGUACGAGAGGACCGGAGUGGACGAACCUCUGGUGCACCGGUUGUCACGCCAGUGGCAUGGCCGGGUAGCUAAGUUCGGACGGGAUAACCGCUGAAAGCAUCUAAGCGGGAAGCCUCCCUCAAGAUGAGUUUUCCCAUGAAGCCCGUUGAAGACUACGACGUUGAUAGGCAAGGUGUGGAAGCGCAGUAAUGCGUGAAGCUAACUUGUACUAAUUGGCUGAUUGUCUUGACCA